AUUCUCAUCAGCUAAAACACCAUGGAAGGGCUUCUUCAAGCUGAUUCUUCAUAUUUUUAUUACAAUGUUUCGGAUGCUUGCUCGAGUUGGAAGUCGUCGGAGAUUUCAUCACACUAUCCAGCUAUCGUUUCGUGUUUCGAAGGCUUGUUCGGGUUGGAAGUCGUUGGAGAUUUCAUCACACUAUCCAGGUAUGAAUGUGAAAGGUGAGAAAUGUGGCUUAAACCAAGUCUAUUUUGGUGCAACAUGGUCUGAGCACACAGACGUAUGACUCGACUGUGUGACCUCUGUUACUUAGAAAAUUUUUACAAGUUUCAGAAAUUUUUAUAUGUGAUCAGUUUAGUCCCAAACCUUCUCUAAUGUAUGUUUAAGGUCUCGUAGACCUCUAAAAAGGACAAUGUGUGUAUGAUUGAAUGAUAUUUAUUAAUGUUGGGUUAUUUGAUUGAGAAAUGAAUUCUGAAUGUUGUGUUUCGAUAGGUAUUAUCUCGUAACCCUAUUUCGGCGACGGACAUGGGUUAGGAGUGUUACAAAAAGUU